rnacentral:rRNA from 1 species
CGGGUGCUUGAAKUGGUGGCGAGUGGCGAACGGGUGAGUAAUACAUCGGAACGUGUCCUGUAGUGGGGGAUAGCCCGGCGAAAGCCGRAUUAAUACCGCAUACGAUCUACGGAUGAAAGCGGGGGAUCUUCGGACCACGCGCUAUAGGGGCGGCCGAUGGCGGAUUAGCUAGUUGGUGAGGUAAAGGCUCACCRRGGCGACKAUCCGUAGCUGGUCUGAGAGGACGACCAGCCACACUGGGACUGAGACACGGCCCAGACUCCUACGGGAGGCAGCRGUGGGGAAUUUUGGACAAUGGGCGAAAGCYUGAUCCAGCAAUGCCGCGUGUGUGAAGAAGGCCUUCGGGUUGUAAAGCACUUUUGUCCGGAAAGAAAUCCCUGGUCCUAAUAUGGCCGGGGGAUGACGGUACCRGAAGAAUAAGCACCGGCUAACUACGUGCCAKCAGCCGCGKUAAUACGUAGGGUGCAAGCKUUAAUCGGAAUUACUGGGCGU